UACAGAGGUCUCGAGCGUUGUUCGGAUUCAUUGGGCGUAAAGAGCGUGUAGGCGGCCAGGUAGGUCCGUUGUGAAAACUCGAGGCUCAACCUCGAGACGUCGGCGGAAACCCUCUGGCUAGAGUCCGGAAGAGGAGAGUGGAAUUCCUGGUGUAGCGGUGAAAUGCGCAGAUAUCAGGAAGAACACCCGUGGCGAAGGCGGCUCUCUGGGACGGUACUGACGCUGAGACGCGAAAGCGUGGGGGAGCAAACAGG
rnacentral:rRNA from 1 species